AAACAAACAGGUUUGGUCCUAGCCUUUCUAUUAGCUCUUAGUAAGAUUACACAUGCAAGCAUCCCCGCUCCGGUGAGUUGCCCUCCAGGUCAUUCUGAUUGAGAGGAGCAAAUAUCAAGCACGCAGUAAUGCAGCUCAAAACGCUCAGCCUAGCCACACCCCCACGGGAGACAGCAGUGAUAAACCUUUAGCAAUAAACGAAAGUUCAACUAAGUUAUACUAACCCCAGGGUUGGUCAAUUUCGUGCCAGCCACCGCGGUUACACGAUUAGCCCAAGUUAAUAAAAGCCGGCGUAAAGAGUGUUUUAGAUUAUCUUCCCCCCCUCCCCCAGUAAAGCUAAAAUUUACCUGAGUUGUAGAAAACUUCAGUUAAUAUAAAAUAAACUACGAAAGUGGCUUUAAUAUAUCUGAACACACAAUAGCUAAGACCCAAACUGGGAUUAGAUACCCCACUAUGCUUAGCCCUAAAUAACAGUUAAAUUAACAAAACUGCUCGCCAGAACACUACGAGCCACAGCUUAAAACUCAAAGGACCUGGCGGUGCUUCAUAUUCCUCUAGAGGAGCCUGUUCUGUAAUCGAUAAACCCCGAUCAACCUCACCACCUCUUGCCCAGCCUAUAUACCACCAUCUUCAGCAAACCCUGGUGAAGGCUACAAAGUAAGCGCAAACAUCCACGUAAAGACGUUAGGUCAAGGUGUAGCCCAUGAGGUGGCAAGAAAUGGGCUACAUUUUCUACUUCAGAAAAUUACGAUAACCCUUAUGAAACCUAAGGGUCGAAGGUGGAUUUAGCAGUAAACUAAGAGUAGAGUGCUUAGUUGAACAGGGCCCUGAAGCACGUACACACCGCCUGUCACCCUCUUCAAGUAUAUUUCAAGGACUAUUUAACUAAAGCCCCUAUGCAUCUAUAUAGAGGAGGCAAGUCGUAACAUGGUAAGUGUACUGGAAAGUGCACUUGGACAAACCAGAGA
rnacentral:ncRNA from 1 species